GAAAUAUGGGAUGGUGGAGGAGGACUCUUGUAAUAGUAUGGAGGUGGAGGUGAUGGGGAUGGCGGUGGAGGUGAUUUGUAGUAGUAGGGUGGUGGUGGAGAUGGUGAUGGUGGAGGUGGAGAUUUGUAGUAGUAGGGGGGAGGAGGAUAGGGAGAUGGUGGAGGGGGACUCUUGUAGUAGUAUGGAGGGGGAGGUGAUGGGGAUGGUGGUGGGGGAGAUUUAUAAUAGUAUGGAGGGGGAGGAGAUGGUGAUGGUGGGGGUGGUGACUUAUAGUUGUAUGGAGGGUGUGAGAUUUCUUUGGGUGGAGGAGGAGAUUUAUAAUAGUAAGGUGGGGGUGGAGAUGGUGAUGGUGGAGAUGGUGACUUAUAAUAAUAUGGUGGAGGAGGGGAUGGUGAUGGUGGGGGUGN
rnacentral:lncRNA from 1 species